rnacentral:rRNA from 1 species
GUGUCAGCAGCCGCGGUAAUACGGAGGGGGCUAGCGUUAUUCGGAAUCAUUGGGCGUAAAGGGCGUGUAGGCGGCUUCGUAAGUCCCGUGUGGAAGCCCUCGGCUCAACCGAGGAAUUGCAUGGGAAACUGCAGAGCUUGAGUCCGGGAGAGGAGAGCGGAAUUCCCAGUGUAGCGGUGAAAUGCGUAGAUACUGGGAGGAACACCGGUGGCGAAGGCGGCUCUCUGGACCGGUACUGACGCUGAUACGCGAAAGCUAGGGGAGCAAACGGGAUUAGAUACCCCGGUAGUCCUAGCUGUAAACGAUGAGCGCUUGGUGUGGCGGGUAUCGACCCCUGCUGUGCCGAAGCUAACGCAUUAAGCGCUCCGCCUGGGGAGUACGGCCGCAAGGCUGAA